rnacentral:lncRNA from 1 species
AUUUUGGAGCCGACAUCCUUUCAUAUGCUUAACUCUUUCCUUAAUUCAGCUCAAGUGAAAUCAGAGCAGAAGUUUCAAAUUUUGGACUGGUUGUUUGGUGAUGAAACUGAUAUAGAAAAUAUUCAUGGGUGCAGUAUUAACAAAGCUGGUGGAAUGGGUGCAAUAUUCUCUAUAAGUUCUGGCAUUAUGCAGGGAGCAAAGGUAUUGUUUAAGAUGGAUGACAGUAUGCACUUUUCUUUCUGAUCAUUUCUGUUUGUCUUUUGCAAUUUAGUGUUCCUUAUUACUUAUCAUUUCUUGCAGUAUUUAGAAGAUGUUCCUGGGUGCAGUAUUAACAAAGCUGGUGGAAUGAGUGCAAUAUUCUCUGUAAGUUCUGGCACUAUGCAGGGAGCAAAGGUGCUGUUUAUUGGUCG